GCACUAUUUUUGACUCUUUUCAGCUUGGCUGCAGCUAGUAAGCUGGGAGGACUGUAAAAGGACUGUAAAAGCUACAGGAGGACUGUAAAAUCUCCAAAUGGAGAUUGGAGAGAAAGUCAUCAUUACUUCUAAGACUCUUCUUGGCGAAGGGAAUUAUCUUCUGCUAUUUAGAUGAAGAAAUAAUUCUUCCUUUUAACCUAGUGGUUUGUGAAAUUGAUUCAAGUUGAUAAAAGUUCACAAGCAAGUCCCAGAUCUCCAGAGAGGAAAUGUUAUGACACUGAAUAGGUCUUUAAGAACUGACUGGUGUUUUACUUUGGUCUUUAGCUAUCAUGUGUUUAUCCAGAUAAUUGAUUUUUGGGAUAAGGAGAAAAGCAAAUUUAGAAAGUUGCCUUAGACAAUAUGUGUAUGUAAUUUCUUCUUGGAGUAGGUUUGUCUCAACUGAUUGUAGUUCAUUUAUUUGUGAUUAUCUAUUAAAGAUAAAACUGAUAUUUAUCCUCUAGUUUCAGUUAUUUGUUUAAUGCCCUUUCUAACCAAAUGCAUACUGCCUCCUACUCAUUUUUGGAAUGCCAUCAUUGAAUAUG
rnacentral:lncRNA from 1 species